rnacentral:lncRNA from 1 species
AUCUUCACAGUUUAUGUUCUUCUGCCAUGGCUUCAGCCAGUCCCUCCACUUGGGGUCCCUGACUUCCCGCAACAGUAAAUGAAUGCCAAACUACAUAUGAAAAUGAAAACGACCAAAACCGAAAGAGAUCUGGGUUCUCAUGUCAAUUCUAUUAUUUACAAGGCAUACUAUUCAAGUCCUAUAAAACUAACCCUAAAUGUUCUUAUCUGUAAAGGAGAUGGGGGUGGGGGAAAUAACAUCUGCCUACCACUCUUUUCAAGUAUGCUAUAAAGCACAAUAAACUAAUGUACAUGAAAAGUGUUAGAAAGUGAAAAUAGCUAUAAAUAUACAGAGCAUCAAGGAAGACUGAACAAAAUGCUAUUAGCCAUGAAUCACCCAUACCAUUUUAGGCCUCUGAAAUAAAAAGUAGUCAGAACAGUUUGAAACAUGGGAAAUAGCACCAGUACUUAACAGGGAUGGCAAAAGACUGAAGAAAUGCCCAGUCAUCUAUCGAAUUGCUAAGGAAGUCAGCCAGCUAAUCAAAGAUAUAUGGAGGCCUAUCACUCCACAAUUCCACAACAGUGAUUUAUCCAAAAGAUUUAAAAAAUCCAUCCAAGAAUGCUCAUAGCAGUUUUAUUCCUAACCACCAAAAACCAGAAAUGCAAAUGUCCAUCAACAGAAAAAUGGAUAAACAAACAGUAUAUCUGUACUAUUACUCAGCAAUGAAAAUGAACCAAUAAUGCAUGAAACAUGGAUAAAUCUCAAAAACGUUGAACAAAAGAAGUCGUGACACAAGAAUACAUAUUGUAUGAUUCCAUUUUUAUAAAGUUCUAGAAUACGGAAAUUAUGCUAAGAGAAAUCAGAACAGUGGUUGCCUCUGGGGACAGGGAAGACUGAAAACGGACAUGAGGGAACUUGCUGGGAGAAUUGUUUUCUUCCUUGCUCCUAAAUCACAGAGGAGAUAGUCCAUAACCAGUGAGCUGGGCCAGAAGCUAAGUACUUUUAUCCCUCUUCCCAAACUGGAAAUAAUGCUUUUCUUUGGCUACCUAACAGUGCAGUGGCAAAAGGUUCAGAUUCGGUUUUCAGGCUCAGAGUAGAAUGAGCAAAAACCAAUGACAUUUCCACUUUUCCAACUAUAAUGCUGAAAAAAAUAGCUGCUGCACUGUAUCUUUUAAGAGUGUUGUGGAUACCAGCUAUUGUGGGUUUGUUCAACUCCCAACCCCUGGCAACUCAGAAUAUGACUUUAACUGGAGAUAGACUCUUUACAGAGGUAAUUAAAAUGAGGUCAUUAGGGUGGGCCCUAAUACAGUAUGACUGGUGUCCUUACAAGAAGAAAUUUGCAAAAAGACAUGGACAGAGGGAAAAUAAAGGGAGAAGACAGCGAUUUUGCAAGCCAGAGAGAGAUACCCUGAACAGAUCCUUCCCUCUCAGCCUUCCAAAGGAAUCAAUCCUGACGGCACCUUGAUCUCAGACUUACAGCCUCCAGAACUUUGAGUAAAUAAAUUUCUAUUGUUUAAGCCGCCCAGUUUGUAGUACUUUGUUACAGCAGCCCCACCAAACUAAUGUACCAGCACUGAAGUAAAAAGAAGAGACACAUACUUUAGGUUUCAUUCUUAAUGCCAGAAACAUCAGAACGGUGUUUUCUAGUAAGGAGAGUAUUUUUUAUAAAAGGCCAAUCGAAUGAAUUUUUGACAAAUGCCUUCCACAAUGCAGUCAUUUAAGGACUUAAUACUUACUGGAGGCAGUCUAAGGUCUGAGGUACUGCUAACCAUAUAGUUUUGAAUGCAAGCAUUAAGUGAAUAAGCUCCCAAACAAAAUAUCUAUACCUCAGUGGCCAGCAAAUAGUCUUUAAAAGUUCUUCAAUAAAAGUGACUUCACAUGUAAAUUUUACUAAAAGCUAAAUAGGUGGUUGGGGGAGGAGGGUGGAAAUUAUGGUGGGAAGAAAAAAGGAAGAUUCUGAUUACGGCAGGAUUAAGAACACGGAUUCUGUAGUCAAACUGCCUGGAUCUGAAUUCUGCCUCUAGCUUUUACUAGCAGUAUAAAAACUUUGAAAGUUUAAAAGCUAAAUGUCUUAGUUUCCUUAUAUAAUACCUUCACAAAUUUAGGCUAAAAUGAGAUUAGUGAAAUGGCUAAAUUUAACAGUAUUUAAAAUGUAAUAAGCUCACUGUUUGCUAUUAUUUCACCCCAUUCCAUAAUAAUUAUUAACAUUAAUUCCAGUGGACUCUAGUAUUACUAUAGAUUCUAUGGAUGUAUUCACUUGUUUGAUUACAGGUGCCACGCCAAAAAUUAUACCUCUCAUCCACAAAUCUUAGAGUUGCAUCAUGUACAAAUACUUGGUUUCUGAAGAAUUCUGGACUGCAAGUUAAAGAAAGUGAGUAGUUUUACUCUAAAACAAGUCACCAAAAUAUAAAAGAGAAUGAGAAGAGAUACCAUCUUCAAUACAAUAAGGAAACAGUUACAACCACAAACCAAACUAUGAAUUAUUUCUAUCAAUAACAGUGAAAUGUGUACCAAACUGAAGGACACUGAGUCAAGCGAAGCUUCUUCAGAUCUUGGGAAGGUUACCGAGUCCUCUAAAAAGUCAUGUUUGCAUGUGUGUCCCAUUUGCUCCUUUCUCUCUGCUGUGUCCUAAAAUCCCUAAAAAUCUUUCAGACGAUCUAGAGCUGUCUGGGUAAUUCACAGGAAAAGCACCUACAGAACUCUUAACCUCACACUGCAUAAGAAUAAAGUGGGGCAGUGCUAAAAAAGAGACCAAGAAGGCAUCUUUAUUAAUUUUUUACCCAGCUGGAGAUGAGGGAGAGUAACAGCCAAUCACCAGCAGAUUACUAUCUAAGAACUCAUUGAUCUAAGAAGCUGCUGAGCCAGCCCAACUACCUGUGGUAUAUCAACAAAAAAAGGAAACUAAAUGAUGAGAACAUAUGGACACACAGAGGGACACAACACACACUGGGGCCUAUCAGAGGGUGGACGAUAAGAGGAGAGAGAGGUUCAGGAAAAAUAAUGGGAACUAGGCUUAAUAUAUGGAUGAUGAAAUAAUCUGUACAACAAACCCACAUGACUUAACUUUACCUAUAUAACACACCUGCGCAUGUACUCCUGAACUUAAAAUUUGGUUACUUAAGUUUACCUAUAUAACACACCUGUGCAUGUACUCCUGAACUUAAAAUUUGGUUUGAGAGUUAUUUGAAGAAACAAACCUAACAGAUGUUCACUUUUUGCCCCUUCCUUUCUGUUCUGCAAAGAGGCAUAUUCCUCGAAGAUACGUAAGAAUCUGAAAGCAUCCAGCACAGGACUAGGAUAAAAAUAUACAGAGUAGAGUAAACUAGGAGAAAUGCAGUUGGAAAAAACCAUCCCAGAAAAUAAGAUGAAUUCAUGAGCUACUCUAUAUACUCAACUUCACUGAAUUUAAGUUCUGAAGAGGAGACCUCAAAGAAAAGUUACAAGAAAGAGAUAAGACAAUGUAGAGAGACUAUGAGAGCUAGCUGAGUUUGGGGAAAAAAGGAAAACUAUUAAAGAUAAAAACCUAGAAAUAACAAAAAGUAGGAUAAACAUGACUUAAAAUGGUCAAGAAUUUGAAGCCAAAGCCAGAGAAUCAAUCUUUAAAAACAUAAGUCAGAGCAUGUUAUUCCACUCCAAACAGAACUCUCCAUUGGUUUUCCACAUCACUUAAAGGGCCAAGGCAACACAAAAGAGUGAAACCAAUUGGAGAAAAUAUAAAUAUCCUUAUUUCCUAAUUUUUAAUCACAAGUCAGACAUAAUAAAAACCUGAAAUAUGAACACAGAAGGAAAUGACUCUAAAAUAAUCUCAAUCUUUCUAUUUUUUUAUGUUAGAGAAAUAUAUUUAGAGAAUAUAGAACUCUUGCUAUGGAUAUCGCAGUAGUUUUUAAAAUACAAAAUUACAGUAACUGACUAUUGUAUGUUCUUAUGAAAACAUAUGACUUUAAUGCAAUCUUACACGACUUUUAUACAAAUAAGCAUUAUUUCAUAUUGCUUAAUUUACUUAAGAUUAUACCUACCUGCUACUAAAAUGUGGUGUUGGUAAUUAACAUGAAGUGUAAACACCUACACUAAAUUUUCAUUACUAACUAUAAACAAAUUAGCCUAAUUUUGUUGCCUAUAUUUCUCUUCAUGUAUUUUUUUCUCAUCUUUACCUAGAGAAUUGAUCAGAUCAAAUAUCUAGUUUCAAUUCUAAUUUAUAACUCAACUUACCAUAAUUCAUUAAAAGGCUGUUUUGAUGGAUCCAGAAUUUAAAAUUAGGGUUAUAGAAAUCAGUCAGUUUAACUUGGGCCUCAGCAACCAUGGCAUUCAAACCAAAUUUAAGCAGAACUCCUGGAGCAUCUAUACAGAACCUUAUGAGUCUAUAUACUAUAUAUUGUCUGAAGACUAUUCUUCUGAUAUUUAUUCUGAACUAAAAUUUGGAUACGAUUAGUCUUUUACUACCCUGCUAUUCUGGAAAUCUAUUUCCAAUAUAAAAGUAAGAAUUCACUGGUUAGCUUAUACUUGACUUCUAAAAUGUGUAGUAUAUCUUCUGUAAAACUGUCCUAAUCAACUUUCAAUUUAAAGAGUUAAUAGGAAUUUAAAAUGGAUAUAACAUGAAUGAACUGAAGAAAUAUCCACCAAUCAAAAUUCCUUCCUGAUCAGGUUUCUGGUUCAGAUUUCAAAAUCUCUCCUGGGCUGGGCAUGGUGGCUCACAGCUGUAAUCCCAGCACUUUGGGAGGCCGUGGUGGGUGGAUCACCUGGGGUCAGGAGUUCGAGACCAGCCUGGCCAACAUGGUGAAACCCCAUCUCUACUAAAAAUACAAAAAUUAGUUGGGCCUGGUGAUGCAUGCCUGUAAUCCCAGCUACUCAGGAGGCUGAGGCAGGAGAAUCAUUUGAACCUGGUAGGUGGAGGUUGCAGUAAACCGAGAGAUGGUGCCACUGCCCUCCAGCCUGGGUAACAGAGCAAGACUAUGUCU